UACGUAGGGUCCAAGCGUUGUCCGGAUUUAUUGGGCGUAAAGAGCUCGUAGGCGGCUUGGUAAGUCGAGUGUGAAAACUCUGGGCUCAACUCAGAGACGCCACUCGAUACUGCCAUGGCUUGAGUCCGGUAGGGGAGUGUGGAAUUCCCGGUGUAGCGGUGAAAUGCGCAGAUAUCGGGAGGAACACCAGUAGCGAAGGCGGCACUCUGGGCCGGAACUGACGCUGAGGAGCGAAAGCGUGGGGAGCGAACAGG
rnacentral:rRNA from 1 species